AUUGAACGCUGGCGGCAGGCCUAACACAUGCAAGUCGAGCGGUAGCAUUUCCAGCUUGCUGGAAGAUGACGAGUGGCGGACGGGUGAGUAAUGCUUGGGAACUUGCCUUUGCGAGGGGGAUAACAGUUGGAAACGACUGCUAAUACCGCAUAAUGUCUUCGGACCAAACGGGCUUCGGCUCCGGCGCAGAGAGAGGCCCAAGUGAGAUUAGCUAGUUGGUAAGGUAAAGGCUUACCAAGGCGACGAUCUCUAGCUGUUCUGAGAGGAAGAUCAGCCACACUGGGACUGAGACACGGCCCAGACUCCUACGGGAGGCAGCAGUGGGGAAUAUUGCACAAUGGGGGAAACCCUGAUGCAGCCAUGCCGCGUGUGUGAAGAAGG
rnacentral:rRNA from 1 species